GAUGAACGCUGGCGGCGUGCCUAAUACAUGCAAGUCGAGCGAACAGACGAGGAGCUUGCUCCUUUGACGUUAGCGGCGGACGGGUGAGUAACACGUGGGUAACCUACCUAUAAGACUGGGAUAACUUCGGGAAACCGGAGCUAAUACCGGAUAAUAUUUCGAACCGCAUGGUUCGAUAGUGAAAGAUGGCUUUGCUAUCACGUAUAGAUGGACCUGCGCCGUAUUAGCUAGUUGGUAAGGUAACGGCUUACCAAGGCAACGAUACGUAGCCGACCUGAGAGGGGGACCGGCCACAUGGGGCCGGAGAUAAGGACCAGACGCCGACGGGAGGCAGCAGUGGGGAAUAUGUCACAAUGGGCGGAAGAAUGAUGCAGCAACGCAGCGUGCGGGAUGACGGCCUUUGGGUUGUAAACCGAUUGCGCCUGUGACGAAGCGUGAGUGACGGUAACGGGUAAAGAAGCACCGGCUAACUACGUG
rnacentral:rRNA from 1 species